rnacentral:rRNA from 1 species
UCAGGACGAACGCUGGCGGCGUGCUUAACACAUGCAAGUCGAGCGGUAAGGCCCUUCGGGGUACACGAGCGGCGAACGGGUGAGUAACACGUGGGUGACCUGCCCUCCACUUCGGGAUAAGCCUGGGAAACCGGGUCUAAUACCGGAUAGGACCAAUCGAUGCAUGUUGGUUGGUGGAAAGUUUUUUCGGUGGGGGAUGGGCCCGCGGUCUAUCAGCUUGUUGGUGGGGUGAUGGCCUACCAAGGCGACGACGGAUAGCCGGCCUGAGAGGGUGAUCGGCCACACUGGGACUGAGACACGGCCCAGACUCCUACGGGAGGCAGCAGUGGGGAAUCUUGCGCAAUGGGCGGAAGCCUGACGCAGCAACGCCGCGUGGGGGAUGACGGCCUUCGGGUUGUAAACCUCUUUCGCGAUCGACGAAGGCCCACUUGUUGUGGGUUGACGGUAGGUCGAGAAGAAGCACCGGCCAACUACGUGCCAGCAGCCGCGGUAAUACGUAGGGUGCGAGCGUUGUCCGGAAUUAUUGGGCGUAAAGAGCUCGUAGGCGGUGUGUCGCGUCGGCCGUGAAAACCUGGGGCUCAACUCUGGGCGUGCGGUCGAUACGGGCAUCACUUGAGUUCGGCAGGGGAGACUGGAAUUCCUGGUGUAGCGGUGAAAUGCGCAGAUAUCAGGAGGAACACCGGUGGCGAAGGCGGGUCUCUGGGCCGAUACUGAC